rnacentral:rRNA from 1 species
GAUGAACGCUAGCGGCAGGCCUAAUACAUGCAAGUCGAACGAGAUUAAGAGGCUUGCUUCUUAUGAAAGUGGCGCACGGGUGCGUAACGCGUAUGCAACCUACCUUAAUCAGGGGGAUAGCCCGAAGAAAUUCGGAUUAAGACCGCAUAAAAACACAGGAUAGCAUUAUCCAAUGUUCAAAUAUUUAUAGGAUUAAGAUGGGCAUGCGUGUCAUUAGCUAGUUGGCGGGGUAACGGCCCACCAAGGCGACGAUGACUAGGGGAUCUGAGAGGAUGACCCCCCACACUGGAACUGGGACACGGACCAGAGUACUACGAGAGGCAGCAGUAAGGAAGAUUAGUCAAUGGAGGGGACUCUGAAGCAGCCAUGCCGCGUGCAGGAAGACAGCCCUCUGGGUCGUAAACUGCUUUUAUUCGGGAAUAAACCUUUCUACGUGGAGGAAGCUGAAGGUACCGAAGGAAUAAGGAUCGGCUAACUCCGUG